rnacentral:lncRNA from 1 species
CAGUGUUUGCCUUGUCACUGCUGUGGAAUGUUUCCUGAGGGCUGNAGGGCUGGCAUUGUUGGUCAGUCUUCUUUGAGGCAGCAUGGCUUUUCCAGAGGAGGGUGGGCAGGGCUGACAGGGUCUCUCUGAAGCAAGGAGGACUUCCUGAGGACAGAUAGGACUGGAAGCUCCGCACCACUAUGGAAGCAGAUUUCACUCAGCUGGGCAGAGCUUGCUCGGUGUUUUUGGGCUGUGGGGCUCUUGCAGGGGGCUGGCGGUGCUGGGCAGCUGUUCUGCAGAAGUGCAGAAGCCCCUGAGGGCUGGAGCGGCUAGCUGGGCCACUGAGAACCCAAGAGGCUCUUCCCCAGGGCAGCCCAACUCGGAAGGACUGCCUGAGAAUGUAGGCAGAUUUUUCACGGCCCAGCCACACUUGUUAUAGCUUUUCUGGGCUGCAGGGGCUCUUGCAGGGGGCUGGCGGUGCUGGGCAGCUGUUCUGCAGAAGUGCAGAAGCCCCUGAGGGCUGGAGCAGCUAGCUGGGCCGCUGAGAACCCAAGAGGCUCUUCCCCAGGGCAGCCCAACUCGGAAGGACUGCCUGAGAAUGUAGGCAGAUUUUUCACAGCCCAGCCAAGCUUGUUCUAGCUUUCCUAGGCUGCAGGCCUUUUCCCGGGGGCUGGCAGUGUUUUUGGUGCUGCUCUGUGGAGGUGUAUCCCCUCCAGAGAGCAAGCAGGCCAGGGCAGGGAAAGCCCCUUCGGUGGUAGGCUUCCAGCAAUUGCUGAGGCCAGCGCUCCAGGAUGGCAGGCAGCCCCAGGUCCACGUGUGCAUGAAGGGUAGGGGGAGGGUAGAUGUACUGGGAAGCACAGCUUUCUGAUAGCUAGUGGGCCAGUGAGCUUGCUGUGGCGUGGGGAGUAUUCUAUGGGGGCCCACCCCUUCUUCUCUCCCCUCCCCAACACUGGCACCUUGUCUCUUCUGCAAGUCCAGCUCUUCUCCCAGGUUCCCCUAACAUAUUAUUCUAUAUCAACUAUAUUUCAAUUAAAAAAAGAAAAAGUAGUGACAAUGGACACUCUGGCUUUGUUCUUGACAUUAUGGGAAUUUUCUCAUUGUGUUUUCAUUAAACAUGAUACUGGCUUACAGAUGUUAACUGUUAGUUUAAAAUGUGCCCAUACAGUUACUAGUUUAUUGAGGAUUUUAUUUCCAGUACUUGAUUGGUAUGAUUAAAUGAUUUCCCUUAUUUCUUCUCCCAUAGGUGAAUUAAAUUAACAGAGCUGGUAAUAUUAACUUAUUUUUCCAUUUCUGGAAUAAGCCAAAAUUAUUAUCUCCACCAUGCUCAGCCAUUGUCUGGGGGUGGCCCAGGGGAAGGAAGUAUGCUUUUGGUAUAAACACCACGGUGGCUUUAAAAGGUUUGGCAACUGAAGUCUAUCAUCAACUAUGCUCCUGACAGCAGAUUCUCUCGAAGGAG